AUACGGAGGGUGCAAGCGUUACUCGGAAUCACUGGGCGUAAAGGACGCGUAGGCGGGUUGUCAAGUCAGGUGUGAAAUCCUACAGCUUAACUGUAGAACUGCACUUGAAACUGGCAACCUAGAGUAUGGGAGGGGGAGAUGGAAUUAGUGGUGUAGGGGUAAAAUCCGUAGAUAUCACUAGGAAUACCUAAAGCGAAGGCGAUCUCCUGGAACAUUACUGACGCUAAGGCGUGAAAGCGUGGGGAGC
rnacentral:rRNA from 1 species